rnacentral:rRNA from 1 species
AGGCUUAACACAUGCAAGUCGAGGGGCAGCAUGGUCUUAGCUUGCUAAGGCCGAUGGCGACCGGCGCACGGGUGAGUAACACGUAUCCAACCUGCCGUCUACUCUUGGACGGCCUUCUGAAAGGAAGAUUAAUACAAGAUGGCAUCAUGAGUCCGCAUGUUCACAUGAUUAAAGGUAUUCCGGUAGACGAUGGGGAUGCGUUCCAUUAGAUAGUAGGCGGGGUAACGGCCCACCUAGUCUUCGAUGGAUAGGGGUUCUGAGAGGAAGGUCCCCCACAUUGGAACUGAGACACGGUCCAAACUCCUACGGGAGGCAGCAGUGAGGAAUAUUGGUCAAUGGGCGAGAGCCUGAACCAGCCAAGUAGCGUGAAGGAUGACUGCCCUAUGGGUUGUAAACUUCUUUUAUAAAGGAAUAAAGUCGGGUAUGGAUACCCGUUUGCAUGUACUUUAUGAAUAAGGAUCGGCUAACUCCGUGCCAGCAGCCGCGGUAAUACGGAGGAUCCGAGCGUUAUCCGGAUUUAUUGGGUUUAAAGGGAGCGUAGAUGGAUGUUUAAGUCAGUUGUGAAAGUUUGCGGCUCAACCGUAAAAUUGCAGUUGAUACUGGAUAUCUUGAGUGCAGUUGAGGCAGGCGGAAUUCGUGGUGUAGCGGUGAAAUGCUUAGAUAUCACGAAGAACUCCGAUUGCGAAGGCAGCCUGCUAAGCUGCAACUGACAUUGAGGCUCGAAAGUGUGGGUAUCAAACAGGAUUAGAUACCCUGGUAGUCCACACGGUAAACGAUGAAUACUCGCUGUUUGCGAUAUACAGCAAGCGGCCAAGCGAAAGCGUUAAGUAUUCCACCUGGGGAGUACGCCGGCAACGGUGAAACUCAAAGGAAUUGACGGGGGCCCGCACAAGCGGAGGAACAUGUGGUUUAAUUCGAUGAUACGCGAGGAACCUUACCCGGGCUUAAAUUGCAGAUGAAUUACGGUGAAAGCCGUAAGCCGCAAGGCAUCUGUGAAGGUGCUGCAUGGUUGUCGUCAGCUCGUGCCGUGAGGUGUCGGCUUAAGUGCCAUAACGAGCGCAACCCUUGUUGUCAGUUACUAACAGGUUCCGCUGAGGACUCUGACAAGACUGCCAUCGUAAGAUGUGAGGAAGGUGGGGAUGACGUCAAAUCAGCACGGCCCUUACGUCCGGGGCUACACACGUGUUACAAUGGGGGGUACAGAGGGCCGCUACCACGCGAGUGGAUGCCAAUCCCAAAAACCUCUCUCAGUUCGGACUGGAGUCUGCAACCCGACUCCACGAAGCUGGAUUCGCUAGUAAUCGCGCAUCAGCCACGGCGCGGUGAAUACGUUCCCGGGCCUUGUACACACCGCCCGUCAAGCCAUGGGAGCCGGGGGUACCUGAAGUGCGUAACCGCGAGGAGCGCCCUAGGGUAAAACUGGUGACUGGGGCUAAGUCG